CAGUCGCCGCGGUAAUACGGAGGGUGCAAGCGUUAAUCGGAAUUACUGGGCGUAAAGCGCACGCAGGCGGUUUGUUAAGUCAGAUGUGAAAUCCCCGAGCUUAACUUGGGAACUGCAUUUGAAACUGGCAAGCUAGAGUCUUGUAGAGGGGGGUAGAAUUCCAGGUGUAGCGGUGAAAUGCGUAGAGAUCCGGAGGAAUACCGGUGGCGAAGGCGGCCCCCUGGACAAAGACUGACGCUCAGGUGCGAAAGCGUGGGGAGCAAACAGGAUUAGAUACCCGCGUAGUCCCUGUCUCUUAUAC
rnacentral:rRNA from 1 species